UCAAUCAUGCUUGGUGAUCUCAAACCAAAUCACAAGUGUUCCCACCCAAAGGUAAGGAGCCAAGAUGCUAUGAUCCUUGAGGCAAAUGCAAAUGUAAUGUUAUAAUGCCAUAAGGGAUCUUAGGGUCAAAAUUGGGGUCUUACACAGGUAUUUCAUUCCCCAUGCUUAAAUGAGCAAAGUAUAGAAAAGGAAGGAAACGAAGAAGAAAGAUAAGAGAAAGCAG
rnacentral:lncRNA from 1 species